rnacentral:rRNA from 1 species
AGGACGAACGCUGGCGGCGUGCCUAACACAUGCAAGUCGAACGAAGCAUUGGAGCUGAUCUCUUCGGAGUGACGCACUUAUGGCUUAGUGGCGGACGGGUGAGUAACACGUGAGCAACCUGCCUCUCAGAGUGGAAUAACAGUUGGAAACGGCUGCUAAUACCGCAUAACGUUUUUUGUGCCGCAUGACACUUUAACCAAAGAUUUAUCGCUGAGAGAUGGGCUCGCGUCCGAUUAGGUAGAUGGUGGGGUAACGGCCUACCAUGCCGACGAUCGGUAGCCGGACUGAGAGGUUGAUCGGCCACAUUGGGACUGAGACACGGCCCAGACUCCUACGGGAGGCAGCAGUGGGGGAUAUUGCACAAUGGGCGCAAGCCUGAUGCAGCAACGCCGCGUGCGGGAAGACGGCCUUCGGGUUGUAAACCGCUGUCCUUGGGGAAGAAACAAAUGACGGUACCCAAGAAGGAAGCCACGGCUAACUACGUGCCAGCCGCAGC